AUUGAACGCUGGCGGCAGGCCUAACACAUGCAAGUCGAGCGAGCGGCGGACGGGUGAGUAAUGUCUGGGAAUCUGCCUGAUGGAGGGGGAUAACUACUGGAAAUGGUGGCUAAUACCGCAUACCAUCGGAUGUGCCCAUAUGGGAUUAGCUAGUAGGUGGGGUAAAGGCUCACCGAGGCGACGAUCUCUAGCUGGUCUGAGAGGAUGACCAGCCACACUGGGACUGAGACACGGCCCAGACUCCUACGGGAGGCAGCAGUGGGGAAUAUUGCACAAUGGGCGCAAGCCUGAUGCAGCCAUGCCGCGUGUAUGAAGAAGGCCUUAGGGUUGUAAAGUACUUUCAGCGGGGAGGCGUUACCCGCAGAAGAAGCACCGGCUAACUCCGUGCCAGCCGCCGCGGUAAUUC
rnacentral:rRNA from 1 species